CCAUACCAGCCGGGGAAUUAGCGGAGCCCUGUACCUGAAAUCCGCUACAGCAGGGGUGGAUCCCUCAUUUGAGGAUCGAACCUUUACGAAUACAAGAGUCGUAUCUGCUGUGUUGAGAAACGGGUCUUACGCAAUCGAGGGCUGUGAACCAUGUCAGGUGGGGGACCAAUCAGCAUUAAGCGGUUACCUCGGUGUGCCGUGAGGUUGCCUGUUUUGAGCAGGAGGUACGAAGAUCGCGUGGGGGCGACAUUCGAUUUUGAGGUGUAUGG
rnacentral:SRP_RNA from 1 species